AGUUUGAUCAUGGCUCAGGACGAACGCUGGCGGCGUGCUUAACACAUGCAAGUCGAACGAUGAACCUCCUUCGGGAGGGGAUUAGUGGCGAACGGGUGAGUAACACGUGGGCAAUCUGCCCUUCACUCUGGGACAAGCCCUGGAAACGGGGUCUAAUACCGGAUACGACCACCGACCGCAUGGUCUGGUGGUGGAAAGCUCCGGCGGUGAAGGAUGAGCCCGCGGCCUAUCAGCUUGUUGGUGGGGUGAUGGCCUACCAAGGCGACGACGGGUAGCCGGCCUGAGAGGGCGACCGGCCACACUGGGACUGAGACACGGCCCAGACUCCUACGGGAGGCAGCAGUGGGGAAUAUUGCACAAUGGGCGAAAGCCUGAUGCAGCGACGCCGCGUGAGGGAUGACGGCCUUCGGGUUGUAAACCUCUUUCAGCA
rnacentral:rRNA from 1 species